CGCCCUUCCUCAUGUAACCAAGCUUUGCAAAUGGAUCCGAACCUUGAAGAACAGCAUAAUUCCAUGAUGAUCAGAAGGAGUUUGCUACAAAAUGCUUGCUUAGAUGCCCAGGAUGAAUUUGUAACAGGCGGUAACCAAGCUUUGCAAAUGGAUGAGAACCUUGGAGGACAGGAAAUUUCCAGGAUGAUCAGUAGUAGUUCGCCGCAAAAUGCUGUCUGAGGAUUCCCGGGAGGACUUCAAACGCGAUAACCAAGCUUUGCAAAUGGAUCAGAACCUUGGAGGACAGGGUAAUCCCGUGACGAUUGGUAGUAGUUUUCUGCAAAUUGCUGGCUUAGAUUUCUCCGAUGAAUUUCCUACAGGCGGUAAGUGGUAAAAUUGUUUCCCCCAAUCUUUUUAGUGUUUGGUAAGCUAGAAAGUGAAAAGAAAAACAUUUUCCAUAAAAUAAAUACAUAAUAAAUGUUUUGGUUAAGAAGAUCUAAAAAUAUUCAUUUAUUAGGGAUACCCAUUGAGAAUUUCAA